GCAAGAUGUCAGCGGCAGACGGGAGAGUAACACGUGGGAACAUGCCCUUCGGUUCGGAAUAAUUCAGGGAAACUUGAGCUAAUACCGGAUACGUCCGUAAGGAGAAAGAUUUAUCGCCGAAGGAUUGGCCCGCGUCCGAUUAGCUAGUUGGUGAGGUAACGGCUCACCAAGGCGACGAUCGGUAGUUGGUCUGAGAGGAUGAUCAGCCUCACUGGGACUGAGACACGGCCCAGACUCCUACGGGAGGCAGCAGUGGGGAAUAUUGGACAAUGGGCGCAAGCAUGAUCCAGCCAUGCCGCGUGGGUGAUGAAGGCCCUAGGG
rnacentral:rRNA from 1 species